UACGGGGGGGGCAAGCGUUGUUCGGAAUUACUGGGCGUAAAGGGCUCGUAGGUGGCCAACUAAGUCGGACGUGAAAUCCCUCAGCUUAACUGGGGAACUGCGUCCGAUACUGGAUGGCUUGAGUUUGGGAGAGGGAUGCGGAAUUCCAGGUGUAGCGGUGAAGUGCGUAGAUAUCUGGAGGAACACCAGUGGCGAAGGCGGCUUCCUGGCCUGUAACUGACGCUGAGACGCGAAAGCGUGGGGAGCGAACCGG
rnacentral:rRNA from 1 species